ACCUGACUGGCUCAGCUGGAAGAGUGUGUGACUCUUGAUCUCAGGGUCGUGAGUUUGAACUCCAUGUUGGGUG
rnacentral:tRNA from 1 species